UACGUAGGGUGCGAGCGUUAAUCGGAAUUACUGGGCGUAAAGCGUGCGCAGGCGGUCUGUUAAGACCGAUGUGAAAUCCCCGGGCUUAACCUGGGAACUGCAUUGGUGACUGGCAGGCUUUGAGUGUGGCAGAGGGAGGUAGAAUUCCACGUGUAGCAGUGAAAUGCGUAGAGAUGUGGAGGAAUACCGAUGGCGAAGGCAGCCUCCUGGGCCAACACUGACGCUCAUGCACGAAAGCGUGGGGGGCAAACAGG
rnacentral:rRNA from 1 species